rnacentral:rRNA from 1 species
GCCUACGGCCAUACCACCCUGAAAGCGCCCGAUCUCGUCUGAUCUCGGAAGCUAAGCAGGGACGGGCCUGGUUAGUACCUGGAUGGGAGACCGCCUGGGAAUACCAGGUGCUGUAGACU